rnacentral:tRNA from 1 species
GCCCGGCUAGCUCAAUUGGUCAGAGCGUCAGACUUUUAAGCCUAUUACGAGAAUAUCUGAAGGCUCUGGGUUCGAUCCCCAGGCUGGGCG